UCAAAGUGUAUAUCGUCAUUGCUGCGGUUAAAAAGCUCGUAGUUGGAUCUGCGCCUCAGGACCCGGUCCGCCCAUUGGACGAGAACUGGGCUCCUAGGCUAGUCAAGCCGGUUUUCCCUACGUUGCCUUCAUCGGUCGCGUAGGGUAGCCAGCAAGUUUACCUUGAAAAAAUUAGAGUGCUCAAUGCGGGCUAACGCCUGAAUACUCGUGCAUGGAAUAAUGAAAUAGGAUCUCGGUUCUAUUUUGUUGGUUUUCUGAUCUGAGAUAAUGGUUAAGAGGGACGGACGGGGGCAUUCGUAUCGCUGCGUGAGAGGUGAAAUUCUUGGACCGUAGCGAGACGCCCGACUGCGAAAGCAUUUGCCAAGAAUGUCUUCAUUAAUCAAGAACGAAAGUCAGAGGUUCGAAGGCGAUCAGAUACCGCCCUAGUUCUGACCGUAAACGAUACCAACUAGCGUUCCGUCGGCGGUAAAUACGCCUUGACGGGCAGCUUCCCGGAAACGAAAGUCUUUCGGUUCCGGGGGAAGUAUGGUUGCAAAGCUGAAACUUAAAGAAAUUGACGGAAGGGCACCACCAGGAGUGGAGCCUGCGGCUUAAUUUGACUCAACACGGGAAAACUCACCUGGCCCGGACACCGUGAGGAUUGACAGAUUGAGAGCUCUUUCUUGAUUCGGUGGUUGGUGGUGCAUGGCCGUUCUUAGUUGGUGGAGUGAUUUGUCUGGUUUAUUCCGAUAACGAGCGAGACUCUAGCCUACUAAAUAGUUACUGGAUAAUUUUGUCCAGACGACUUCUUAGAGGGACAAGCGGUGCUUAGCCGCAUGAAGUUGAGCAAUAACAGGUCUGUGAUGCCCUUAGAUGUCCAGGGCUGCACGCGCGCUACACUGGAGGAAUCAGCGUGCUGUAACCAUUGCCGAAAGGCAUUGGUAACCCCUUGAAAAUCCUCCGUGAUCGGGAUCGGGAAUUGCAAUUAUUUCCCUUGAACGAGGAAUUCCUAGUAAGUGUGAGUCAUCAGCUCACGUUGAUUACGUCCCUGCCCUUUGUACACACCGCCCGUCGCUGCCCGGGACUGAGCCGUUUCGAGAAAAGCGGGGACCGCUGUUUCGAUACCUUUUGGGGUGGAGAUUCUUUGGUGGAAACCGCUUUAAUCGCAGUGGCUUGAACCGGGCAAAAGUCGUAACAAGGUUUCCGUAGGUGAACCUGCGGAAGGAUCAUUAACGAGCUUCAAAAACAAACACACACAUUAUCACACCUACUUCGAACCUACUUCUUCUUCUUCAUUGAAGAUUGAAGCAGGUAGAAGCUAGUAAUGGUGUGGCAGUAACGUGUCACAACAAUGGUUUCACCACAUUGUAUUGUUGACACAAAGCUGCAACAGAUAGCCUGUGUUCAGCUGUAUUGGCAGUUCACAUUUUCCUUCCCCAAUGAAAUUUGGAUAUAUGGAAGUGAAAAAGGCUAUCGACAUGUAACAACGGUGUCCCAUGUUGGCGUCUAAUCUUCGUCCAAGUUAUCGCCCGACCGUCGGUAACAAUGAAGAUGAAGAGGAAGCUCUCCUACUUGUUUUGUAGUUUGAGAGUAGACUUAAUAAGCAUCAAGCUAAUGUGCUGCCAACAAUCAAACACACACACACACACAAACUUCAGUAUAUUGGUUUCUUUGAAACGAACGAAUCACCGUUACAUCUCUAACAUUUGUUAUUGAUGUUCGGCGAAACUCGUUAUGAUCAUAUCCUACUCUUAGCGGUGGAUCACUCGGCUCGUGGAUCGAUGAAGAACGCAGCUAGCUGCGAUAAAUAGUGCGAAUUGCAGACACAUUGAGCACAAAGAUUUCGAACGCACAUUGCGCCAUCGGGUUCAUUCCCGUUGGCACGUCUGGCUGAGGGUUAAAUCAACGAUAAAUAAAAUAGCUCAUUUUACGCCUCGGAGUCUAUUUGAAAUGAUGAAUCGUCAGGCGAUCGAAUUGCUCACACCUAUCAACUUGUGAUGAGUUGAUUGGUUGUUGCUAGAGAACAUGAUGAUCCCCUGAUUAGUAAAUUGGAUGUUGUUGGUAUGUGUGGUGGUGGUGGUGUGUGUAUGUGUAAUACACAUUACAUAUCAUCAUCAUCAUCAUCAUAUUCAACAUAUAACAUCUGAUGUUGGAAUACAACGACAAGAAUGGAUGAAACCAAAAAAUGAUACUUGCUGUUGAAAAAAAUGCUGCGACUUCUGCUGGUACAUCAUCCAUCGUUUGUGUUCCGAACAGUAGAAGAUUCACUAAUUUUAACCUCAGCUCAGUCGUGAUUACCCGCUGAAUUUAAGCAUAUAACUAAGCGGAGGAAAAGAAACUAACGAGGAUUUCCCUAGUAACGGCGAGUGAACGGGAAGAAGCCCAGCGCUGAAUCCUUUAGCCAUUGGCUACUAGGAAUUGUAGCGUAUAGGUGUAACUAUCCGAGUGUUUCGUGCACCCAAAGUCCCCUUGAGUGGGGCUACAGUCCAUAGAAGGUGCUAGACCUGUACGGGUGAUGAAAUGUUCGGUAGGUUGCACCUUGGAGUCGGGUUGCCUGAGAUCGCAGCCCAAAGAGGGUGGUAAACCUCAUCUAAGGCUAAAUACGACCACGAGACCGAUAGCAAACAAGUACCGUGAGGGAAAGUUGCAAAGGACUUUGAAGAGAGAGUUCAAGAGGGCGUGAAACCGCUGAGAUGGAAACGGAUAGAGUUGACGAAACUUGUCGGUAUUCAACCGGUCAACUCAGCGGCCUUGCGGCAUUGUACCUCAAUUUGGGGGCAAUGACGUGAGCGUUAAUGCUGUUGAGUUGCGCCUAUGACUGGUGUAUUUACCGACGGUAUGCGCCGAGAGCUUCGUUGUUGCAUGUUGACACUAGUGUAGUGGACCAUACCAAUUUUGGUAUGGAAACCUUCGCUAGUUUGAGACAUGUCUUCGAUGAAGUUACCAGGUGUACAGUAGUUUCCAACCAUUCAUCAUCAUUACGGUGGUGGUGAUCCGGUUGCUGCAUCGUUUACAAUUUGGCCAAUUCGAUUUACAUGUGGUCGCUUGCGACUUAUCGGUAAAUUGUACAAUUGGUCGGUUGUGAAAGUUGGAUGCGUUGAAAUUACGUCUCGGUGUGAACGUCGACCACCUAUCCGACCCGUCUUGAAACACGGACCAAGGAGUCUAGCAUAUACGCAAGCUAUUGGGUGGUAAACCCUAAAAGACACAAUGAAAGUAAAGAUCAUCUUUGAUAUGAUUGAUAUGUGAUCCGUAUGGGUUCGCGCAUAUGUGCACAUACGGCGCAACAUAGCCCCGUCCCCGUUGCUUGCAAUAGGGCGGAGGUAGAGCGUAUACGCUGGGACCCGAAAGAUGGUGAACUAUGCCUGAGCAGGAUGAAGCCAGAGGAAACUCUGGUGGAGGUCCGAAGCGAUUCUGACGUGCAAAUCGAUCGUCUGACUUUGGUAUAGGGGCGAAAGACUAAUCGAACUAUC
rnacentral:rRNA from 1 species